CCAGAAAGGGCUCUUGAGUCUGCAGUACCAAAAGGUGCACUGGGCCUUCAAGAACUGGUCUGAACAGCUCCAUUCUGGGCUCCAGAGUCAGCAAUCCCUCCUGAUUUACGGACUGCCUCUAGGGUUGUCUCUUCUUUGACCACACUUUCUGAGUCCUUACCUCCACUCAGUGCCUUCACCAUAGAUUUCAAAGGCACCUUUAGCCAAUCUUUGGAAGACUUAUGUAGCCUCUCCUUAGGUACUACUGAGAAUCUGCCUCUUGCCUCAGUCGGAUCAGGGAAGCACUCCUAACAGAUGUGGACACACAGACUCCAUAAGCAGGUACUGCUGUCCCAGCACACAACAUACUGCUGCCAUCCUUGUCUAUACGGCACCAUAUUGACGGACAAUGUUGUGGAGGAGGUUUGGGGUGAUAAGUAAGUAUUAAUUAUUUUCCACCUAUGUCAUUUUACAAAGCUUUCUUUUUAAAUAUUUAGAGCAUUAAGGAACACAAACAAGCAGAAAACAGCUUGAUCAUAACACAACACCUGAACCUCUCAAAACUUUUAAUAAAUCUGCCCCCCUUCACCACAGUACUUUGAGAUUUCAUAGUAAAACAGUUUGAAUAAACUGAUUGUAUUCUGAAAAUUUUAUAAUUAAUUAGCAAUUUAACAGGUUUAUUAAUCAGUGGAUGUUACAUGAAUUACACAUAUUUUGUAAAAAAGUUUUAUGGUAGAAAUAAAGCAGUUUCACAUAAUUUUCUAUGUCAUAUUUUCCCUUUGACCUAGGCUGCCUUUGCUUCCAGGUUUAAAACAGUUUCCACCUGUGUUUGUAUUAGACAGCCUGAAAUCUAGUAAAUCAAGACUGUUUAUUGCAGUGUCAUUGUCAUACCUGAAAUGGUCUGUCCUCUACCUUUACUUUCUGUAAAAUCAGCCCCGACCUUCUAGACUAAGAAAUAUCAAAAUAAGAGUCCAAAGCAUUUAUUUUUAUCCUACAGUUUUUUCCUCGCUUUAAGUUUGAACGUUGAGACAAAUAUUAACUUGGCGCUGUUUUUCCCUACAAUCCUUAGGAAAAACCUUGUAAAAUAUCAGUCACAUACCCAAAACAUGACUAAAGUAGUAACUUAACAACAUUGCUAAUUUUUAUUACUCAUUUUUUUUUAAAAAAGCCUUCUAAAACAGAACUGUUCAUUGUUACAAAGAUUAAAACUACCCUCACUUUUUCUUAGUGCCGACUUCAUGCUUGUCUCUUUUUUCUUCAGUGCUGUCUCCAUUGUGCUGUGACUGGUUACUGUCUUGAGCAUCAGGCCCUCCGUUCAGUAUCUUUGAACCUUUGAAAUUACAAAACUGAUUGGUGGCCUAAACAGUGAGAAUGUUAAGUACCUCCUCUGACUGGGUCAAGCCGUAUUGAAAGUAGCUACUAAUGAGGAAGAUGGACAUCUGUACCAAAAGUUUUGCCACAAUUUGACUAAGUGGACAAUAUCAACCUAGUUGGUAUUAUUGAACCGGGCAUUGGGGGCGGGGGGAGAGGAGGAGGAGGAGAUGACCGUAAUGACCCUAUGAUACAUCCUGGAAGCUGCUUUUCUGAAUGAAUUCCUGAUAUCAGCUUGCUUACUUGUCUUCUUCCUCUUUUGCAUAAAAGUAGAGUGCAGAAUAUGCAAUCCUCCUGGGCAGUAUGCUAGUCCCGGUUACUAUAUGGAAGAUUUGUAGUGGAAGAUAUCAGAAAUGAUGGUUAAUAGAGCUUUCUGGUUGAUAAAGUACCGGAUAUCACAGCUUUUACUGUAUUGUACACAAUAGUUUCCUAAUCAAAAAGUGUUGAAUCCAACAUGGGGGAAUUCUGUAUUAGAUCUUAUUUUGAGGGAUAAAAAAGAAUUGAUAUCACAACUAAAAAUUAGUGGUGGCUUAGGUUCAAGUGAUCAUGAUUUGAUGGUACAUUUUUAUGUGAGCCCAGAAUAAAGUCCAAACCAGUAAUAAACACAAUUGGUGCUUUAAAAUGGCCAAUGUCUCAAAGCUGAAAACAAUUAUGAGCCAAAUCAGUUGCGAGAAAGAAUUUAAAUGGUAAAACGUGAAUAAUAACUGGGAACUGCUGAAAAACAUUUACUACAUGCUCAAAAAGCAACAAUCCCAAUAGCAAGAAGGAAGUUUCUAAGCCAGGUUGUUUUUAGAGAACAUGAAAGCAAAUUUUCACAUGCCGACUCCCUAUGGAAGAAAAGGGAAGUUAAUAGUAUGGAAUAUAAAUCAGAAGUUAGGAAUUGUAGAAAAUAAAUAAUAUCUAUCUGUGGCCAGCAGAGUUAAAGAAAAUAAGGAAUAUUUCAAAUAUAUUAGGAACAAAAUGAAUUCUAACAAUAAGAUUGGCCCAUUACUAGAUGGAAAUGGCAGAAUUGUCCAUUAUAAUGCAGAAAAAGUAAAAGUGUGCAAUAAAUAUUACUGUUCUGUAUUUGGGAAAGAGCCAGAUGAUGUAAUCGUAUAUCAUCAUGAUGAUGAAAAAUUUUCCAUUUCACUAGUAACUCUGGAGAACAUUAAACAGAAGCUAUUAAAGCUAGACAUUUUUAAUUCAGUAGGUCCAGAUACCUGCAUCCAAGAGCUGUGAAAGUGCUGGCUGAGGAGCUAAUGUAGAUUUUCAGUAAGUCUGGAACUCUCCUAAUAUUCAAAGAGGACUGGAAAAAAUCUGCUGUGCUAAAAUUUAAAAAGGGUAAAUGGGAUGACCUGGCUAAUUAUAGAUCUGUCAGCAAUCCUGGGCUAAUGGAACAAUUAAUAUGGGACUUGAUUAAUAAAAGAGUUAAAGAAGGGAAAUAUUUAUUAAUGCCAAUCAACAUGGGUUUACGGAAAAUAGAAACUAUUUCCAUAUAACAGUUGACUGUCUGGGGUAAUAUUGUUAAGCUGUCCAGAGGGAAGUUUGAGGAUACCACCACAUACCUGUU